rnacentral:rRNA from 1 species
AGUCGAGGGGUAUAGUUCUUAGGAAUUAGAGACCGGCGCACGGGUGCGUAACGCGUAUGCAAUCUACCUUUCACAGAGGGAUAGCCCAGAGAAAUUUGGAUUAAUACCUCAUAGUAUAGUACAACCGCAUGGUUGAACUAUUAAAGUUACAACGGUGAAAGAUGAGCAUGCGUCCCAUUAGCUAGUUGGUAAGGUAACGGCUUACCAAGGCUACGAUGGGUAGGGGUCCUGAGAGGGAGAUCCCCCACACUGGUACUGAGACACGGACCAGACUCCUACGGGAGGCAGCAGUGAGGAAUAUUGGACAAUGGGCGCAAGCCUGAUCCAGCCAUGCCGCGUGCAGGAUGACGGUCCUAUGGAUUGUAAACUGCUUUUGCACAGGAAGAAACAACAUUACGUGUAAUGUCUUGACGGUACUGUGAGAAUAAGGAUCGGCUAACUCCGUGCCAGCAGCCGCGGUAAUACGGAGGAUCCAAGCGUUAUCCGGAAUCAUUGGGUUUAAAGGGUCCGUAGGCGGUUUAGUAAGUCAGUGGUGAAAGCCCAUCGCUCAACGGUGGAACGGCCAUUGAUACUGCUAGACUUGAAUUAUUAGGAAGUAACUAGAAUAUGUAGUGUAGCGGUGAAAUGCUUAGAGAUUACAUGGAAUACCAAUUGCGAAGGCAGGUUACUACUAAUGGAUUGACGCUGAUGG